GACGUUAGCGGCGGACGGGUGAGUAACACGUGGGCAACCUGCCUGUAAGACUGGGAUAACUUCGGGAAACCGAAGCUAAUACCGGAUAGGAUCUUUCUCCUUCAUGGGAGAUGAUUGAAAGAUGGUUUCGGCUAUCACUUACAGAUGGGCCCGCGGUGCAUUAGCUAGUUGGUGAGGUAACGGCUCACCAAGGCAACGAUGCAUAGCCGACCUGAGAGGGUGAUCGGCCACACUGGGACUGAGACACGGCCCAGACUCCUACGGGAGGCAGCAGUAGGGAAUCUUCCGCAAUGGACGAAAGUCUGACGGAGCAACGCCGCGUGAGUGAUGAAGGCUUUCGGGUCGUAAAACUCUGUUGUUAGGGAAGAACAAGUACAAGAGUAACUGCUUGUACCUUGACGGUACCUAACCAGAAAGCCACGGCUAACUACGUGCCAGCAGCCGCGGUAAUACGUAGGUGGCAAGCGUUAUCCGGAAUUAUUGGGCGUAAAGCGCGCGCAGGCGGUUUCUUAAGUCUGAUGUGAAAGCCCACGGCUCAACCGUGGAGGGUCAUUGGAAACUGGGGAACUUGAGUGCAGAAGAGAAAAGCGGAAUUCCACGUGUAGCGGUGAAAUGCGUAGAGAUGUGGAGGAACACCAGUGGCGAAAGCGGCUUUUUGGUCUGUAACUGACGCUGAGGCGCGAAAGCGUGGGGAGCAAACAGGAUUAGAUACCCCGGGUAGUCCACGCCCGUAAACGAUGAGUGCUAACUGUUUGAAGGGUUUCCGCCCUUUUAUUGCUGGCGGCUAACGUCACUAAAUCACUCCACCCUGCCGGAGUACGGUUCGCCAGGACUGGAAACUCAAAU
rnacentral:rRNA from 1 species